rnacentral:lncRNA from 1 species
CGUACGCGUCCUGCGCGCCGUCCAGCAGGCCCUCGGGCAGCCCCGCGCCGCCGCCGCCGUGCAGGCCCAGCGGGCCUCCCAGCUCGGCCAGGCGGGGCAGCUCACCCGGACAGCGCGAGCCCAGCGCCGGCGACAGCGCGCUGGCGGGGCUUGGGUACAUGAGCGGCGAUGAUGGCGCCAGGGCCUCCAGGGCCUCGUCGUCCUCCAGCUCGGCCGCCUCCCCGAGCAGGGGUCUCCCGCCGCCGCGGAAGUCGGCCCAAGCCUCGUAGUCGUCGCUGGCGUGCGAGGCGGGGCUGGCGGCCCACUUGGCUGCGGCAGGCACCGGCCCCGGGGCGGGCGCACUCGGGGAGCUGUCGUCCGGGCUUCGCUCGGGCGCCUGCAGCUGCUUCUUCUUGCUCGCCUUGCCCUUGAUGCGCAGGAACUUGGCCCCGUUGUCCAUGGACACGGCCCUGCGCCGCGGGGUCUUCCCUGUCUUUCCGCCCUCGGGGUUCAGCAUCCACCACGAACUCUUGCCGGUGCCCUCGUUCUGCACGCGGAUGAAACGGGUGUGCAGCGACAGGUUGUGCCGGAUGGAGUUCUGUGGCCAGAGACAAGGACGCGGGUGGGAGUCGGGGGGUGAGGAGGCCAUGGGGAGAGAGGGGACGUGAUGGAAAGAAGAGGGGGAGGAUAAGAGAGUGUAGGAGGAGGAGGGAGAUAGGGAUGAGGAUGAGGUAAGGGGGUUGGGAGAGGGAGGGGACAGGUGUAAGUACCGGGUUGGACAAACCCAGAGUACCCACCCUCUGCCCCAGAACUGCACCCCCCAUCCCUCCCCACUCCCACACAGAGACUGCCCAGAGGGUGAGGCCACAGCUUUGGGCCUAGCCUUUCCCUGGGGGCAUGGCCAACCCUGUGGGCUACUCUGAGCCUGCGGGGGGCCUGCAGCAGGGAGCAGGACCCCGUCUCCCCAGCUCAGCCAAGCCCCACGCGGGGCUAACCAGGCUGCCAGGGCCCCCAGCAGAUUACGUAAGGGCUUAUGCCGCCGCGGCUCAUUUGUCCGCCCCCCUCCCUCUCCAGCCUGGCGUGGCGCCAGGAGCCCGAAAACCCAGGGCUCCAGAAAUCAAUCUCGCGGUGACUGAUUAAGCCCUGUUUAGAACUAAUUGCUCUUUCGUGUGUGGGGAGAAUAAAUUACCUGCUUUAAUUUCGUGUCUUUAAAAUGCAACUGCAGGUAGAGAAGACUGUUAACCCUUUGCUGGGAGGGCCUGGCCAGGGGAAACAGAGUAGGCUGGGGUCCCCAAGGUGGGUCCAGGCCUGAGACUUUUCGGAGGUAUCACCCCAACUCCUCUUAGCUGCUGUGAACUCCACAGAGGGUUUGGAUUCCAGCAGGCCCCUCAAAAGACAUCCUUUUGCCACAGAGACCUCAGCCUUCACCCUCUUCAGUGCCCACCUUCAGGCCAGCCCAGCUCUCCUGCCUGCCCUUUGGGCUGCACCCUGCCCUCCUCUCCUGACCCACCUGCCUGCCCUCCAAGCCCCUUGCUGUUGGAGCCUUCUCAAAAUCCCCACAGUGUGUGGCAAAGUCCCCAUUCACACGCCAGAAGACCUAGGCUCAGAGAGAGGAAUGGCUUGCCCAAGGUGGCCUUUUCUGCUGUCCCUCGGUUCCUCCCUGGGCUUCACCUCUGCCAUCUCUCCAUACAUCCUCUUUUUAAUUCUGCUGUGCCAGUCUCCAGUGCUCCCCAUGUCACUGCCUGCUUUUGCCAGGCCUGUUCUGAGGACAGAGGAAGGCAGGAAGUCCACUGGCCCCACUGGAAUCUGGAGUAGAACUUCUGCUGGGCCUGCGGCACCCCACCUCUGGGGCCUCCCACCUGGUGGCCUCAACUUCCUGGUCCAGAGAUGGGGUUUCACCACGUUGACCAGACUGGUCUUGAACUCCUGACCUCAGAUGAUCCACCCGCCUCGGCCUCCCAAAGUGCUGGGAUUACAGGACACCCUCAUUUAUCCUCUGAGUCGGACACUCUCCUUCCUCCUGUGGUGUGGCUGUGUUCUCUGAUGGAGCAAAAGCCGACUGAUCCAGCAGGACGUCAUCUCUACUACAAAGAGGAGGAUUUCUUAUGUUGCCCACGUUGGUUUCAAACUCCUGACCUCAAGUGAUCUUCCUGCCUCGGCCUCCCAAAGUGCUGGGAUUACAGGUGUGAGCCAACUUGCCUGGCCAUCUCUGUGCCAUCUUCUUCUGAUCCUGGGCAGUGGGACUAGGGGAAGUUACCUUUUCUGGGGCACAUUUAGUGGUGUGCUGGCAAAUGUUUAACCACCAGCUCUUCUGGAAGUUAAAAAAAAAACCUACCUGAUUUGAUUUGUAGCUGUUGCUGCUUUCUGUGGUACGGAUACUCACAUCAUAGCCAAUUUUAAACUGCCACAUGACGUCACCGAGUGCAGAAUUGGGAAGAAGUGUGCACGAUCAGCCCUCAUGAGCCAGUGCAAACCAGCUCUCGCACACCACUGGCAUGUGCUUCAAAUGCUGAAGCCAGAGAAGGGCACCACCUACUACAUGCCUAACAUAGGCUAGGCUCCUUUAAUCCUGAUAACCAUCCUGUGAGUAGGUACUGCGAUUUUACAAAGGGGGCAAACUGAAGCUCAGGUGGGUUAAAUGACUCCUGAGGCCACAAAGCUGGGAAAUGACGGAGCCAGGCUUGGGUCUUAGGGCUGCUGGAUUCCAAAGCCAGAGCUCUCCCACACCUACCCCUAAUGUGGCAGGGGACACUCUGCUGUCCACCCCAGUGGCCAUCUCCACCUUGACGCUCAAGCCCAAGCUCUCCUAGCUUUCAUCAGAGACAGGGGACAAGGACUGUGCCCCCACCUACCACCAACCCUGUGCUACCUCCUGGCCUCCCUGGUACCUGGGGUCUUUCAGGAUCCAAGUGCGGCCCUGCAUCUUGUGUCCACCCAUCACAGCCCAAGCCCAAGGUCAGGUGUGGAUGCCUGUCCAGGUUGCAUCACAGUCAAAGGCUCAGCCCAGCCCCUCCCUCAGGAGACUGACCCUGACUACCUGAUGGGGAAAAUGACCCAGCACCUGUUACUGCAGUGACCUCCUGUGGGGCUGUGGUGAGGGCUCUGAUCCCCUCUAUGAUUCCCAUUUCCUCCUUCCCUCCUGGCCUUCCUUCCUGCAUACGGAGAGGUCAAAGACAGGAGACUGAAUCCCAACUUCAUCCAUGUGACAGUGGGCCUCCACUAUAACGAAGAUAACAAUCCCAGCAUCCACAGGGACAUAUGGGACCUGGAUGAAACCUCACAUGUCAAGAAUGUCAUCCCAUCCCUGUCUCAGAGCCCCAGGAGCCUCCCCAUCCUACCCCUUGCCCCCACCCAACUCUGGGGCCCCAGCCUGGCCUAGGAACACACACCUGUGUCAGACAGAGCCACAGACACCCUGAGAGUCACUUGCCCUGCCAUCUGGGGUGAAGUUCAGGUUCUCAGUCCAGGCCUCUUCCUGGCAAAAGAUGUGACCUGGAUGAUGCCAGGGACCCGAGGCCAUGUGCAAAUCCUCGGCACUAGGGUCUGCAGUGGAGAAGGGAUAGAAGGGCAGCUGGGGACCAUGGGACACAGAUGUCUCCAGGUGAGUGGGCUCAGGAUCAGCAGCGGAUCCUAGAGUGGGCAGCCUGGGGCCAGGAGGAACCAAUAUCCAAAGGAAGGCAUGAGGCUCUGGCACCCCCCAGAGAAAGCAGAGCCCACACACCCAGGCUCGGCAGCAAAUAAACCACCAACGAAAGUCCAACCUCACACUGCUCCAAUGCCCAUUCGUCCUUGUCACCUGCGGGCUUGGGUCCAAAACCAGGCUGAUACUAAAGAGCCCUCUGAUGUCCUCCAGCCUCAUCGCCCCCUUCCCUUAGGGCCAUCUGGGCCUCCAACCACCUUGGAUGUCCCCAUCCCUGUGCCUUUGCACACUGUUCCCUUUACUCUUGUCCCUUUCUCUGCUCUAUCAGUUCCUGUUCCUCCAUCAAGGCUAGCUCUGUGGCACCUUCCUCAUCCCCUAUGCAAGCCCCAAAGAUAGAUGCUCCCACCUUAGUGCUCCUGUAGAGAUCUAACAGCAAACCAGAGCAAAGUGGUGUCUGAGCUGGCCUCCCUACUCGAACUCUGUGGGGCAAUCCUUGGCUCAAGAGAAGUCAAGAGAUAGGAUGGAGCCCUCAGUAGCCACGAGCUGCUCAUGCCUGGCAUUUCUGUGUAGUUUCUGUUCAGCAAAAUCUCAGGCCAGAGCUCCAAGGCUUGCCCACCCUCUACCAGGGUCCUGUCUGACCCUCCUCCCUGCUGCUUUCUCCUGCAGCUCCUGUUGCCUCUGCCACCUCCUUACUUGACCCCAGUACUUCCUGCCUCCUUGGGAAAGUGAGGCAGUGAGUGGGGAAGGACUACUGCUUCUGAGACAUUGACCACAUGCCAUGCCCUGUGCUGCCACUCGAAAAUUAUCUCAUUGAAUUUUUGUAACAACCCUCUGGUUGGUUUAUUGUCCCCAUUUUACAGAUGAGAAACUGAGGCUCCAAGAGACAAACUGACUUGCCCAGGGUCGCAUAGUGUAAGUGGUGGUGCAGGAAUUUACACCCAGGGCCCUUGCUCUUUCUCCUGCCCUGAGAGACCUCCAGAGAGGAGCCAAAGCCAAGCAGAAGCUCCAGCGUGAGCCUGGGGUAGGGGCAAGGGGACUCUCCAUACUAGUUCAGCAACCCCUUCACAGACCCUCCUUCAUUCGGGAUUAAAAAGAACCCCUAAAUGCAAAGCAUUCAGACUUUUCCAUCUCCCCUCUCAGUCUGAGCCCCUCCCUCCCUCUGCAGGCAGCACUUCCCCACUCCCCUGCCCCAGGCCCUGGGAGCAGCUGCAGUGACCUCACCCAGCCCUGCCCUGAGCCCAGCUCUGGGGAGGGCCCAGCAGCUGUGCCCCAGCCCUGCAGGCUGGCUCCUGGGGGAGAAAGAGGAAGAGUGGGCAUGGUGCCAAGAGAACCAUCUGCUCUCCCAGGGGCAUGGCCACCCGCACAGACACUGGCCUUGCCCCCAGGGGCUGCCCUUGGUCCCCAUGCCAAGGGGCUCCAGGAGCCCAGGGCGGCCCACCCAGACCGGGGCACCAGCCCUCAUCUGC